CUGCAGUCUGAAGAAAAAAGAAGCAAAAAUGGAAUUGUCUUUUAAAUGAACUGUCUGAAGGAAUAGCUUGAAUUAGAGACAAAGCCCCCUGGAAAGUCACAAUAGAGUCUGUUGGCAAAGAAGAGGUGACUGAACACUGUUGCUGAGCAGACUAUGCCUGUGUUGUCUGAUACCACAGUGCUGCAGUGUUGCCUCCUGGUUUUGGCUAGUGUUUUCCAGGCAGCUCGCUUUCUCAUGUAUGUAUUUCACUAUUUACUUGCUUAUUCAUUUUGUUUAUACAACUAUUUCUUUUUUCAGGUUUCCACUCAUUUGAAGUUUCCAUGUGUAAAAAGAAAGUCCCAAGCCUCUCACCCAUUAGCAUGCACCAUCUCACGAGAGUCCGUGAAAUCCAUGUAUCAUGAUUAUGUAUCAUGUAUCCAUGCAUUCGAAUGAGACCAUCUCACAUGAGUUCAUGAUGGACUAAAAGAGCCUACACAAGCAGCAACCAAAUGCCUGCUAUGGAAGCCAGGAUCGACUGCCUCCUGAUUAGUUGUGAUUCUCUAAUGAACUCUAAAGGCACCUCAUACUAAAAAUAGAAUGUAACGAUUGACUUCUUACAUCCAAUGAUGAAUGAGGCAGACCAAUGAGAGGACCCAACAGGCUAGAGAACAUACCACCAAUCCUAAAGACCUGAGUUCAAUCUCCAAGACACACCUGGAGGAAAGAGAGAACCAACUACCAAAAGGUUUUCGCUGACCUCCACAUGUGUGCUAU
rnacentral:lncRNA from 1 species